rnacentral:rRNA from 1 species
GAUGAACGCUGACAGAAUGCUUAACACAUGCAAGUCAUUGGCGAAGCUGCGCUUGCGCAGUCUAGCCAAGGCGGACGGGUGAGUAACGCGUAAGGAACUUGCCCUGCAGACAGAGAUAACAGACGGAAACGACUGAUAACACCUGGUAUUGUCAGGCUGGCGCAUGCCGGCCUGAUGAAAGGAGACGCUGCAGGAGAGCCUUGCGUCCUAUUAGCUAGUUGGUGGGGUAACGGCCCACCAAGGCGAUGAUAGGUAGCCGGCCUGAGAGGGUGAACGGCCACAAGGGGACUGAGAUACGGCCCUUACUCCUACGGGAGGCAGCAGUGGGGAAUAUUGGACAAUGGGGGCAACCCUGAUCCAGCAAUUCUGUGUGCACGAAGAAGGUUUUCGGAUUGUAAAGUGCUUUCAGCAGGGAAGAAGAAAGUGACGGUACCUGCAGAAGAAGCGACGGCUAAAUACGUG